rnacentral:rRNA from 1 species
GUCUUUUUGAUAAUAAUUUAAGGUUUAACCUGCCCAAUGAAAAAUUUUAAUGGCCGCAGUAAAUUGACUGUGCAAAGGUAGCAUAAUCAUUAGUUUUUUAAUUGAAAGCUAGAAUGAAUGGUUGGACGAGAUAUAGACUGUCUUAAUUUAAUUAAUAGAAUUUUAUUAUUUAGUUAAAAAGCUAAAAUAUUAGUAAAAGACGAGAAGACCCUAUAGAUCUUAAUAUUAGAUAAAAUUAGAGUUAGAAAUGAAAUAUUUAUAAUUUAAUAAUAUUAAUAUUUUAUUGGGGUAAUAAAAAGAUUUAAUUAAUUCUUUAGUUUUAAACAUUAAUUAAUGAAUAAAAAUAUUGAUCCUUUAUAAAGAUUGUAAGAAUAAGUUACCUUAGGGAUAACAGCGUAAUUUUUUUGGAGAGUUCAUAUCGAUAAAAAAGUUUGCGACCUCGAUGUUGGAUUAAAAUUUAUCUUAAGUGUAGUAGUUUAGGAUUUUGGUCUGUUCGACCAUUAAAAUUUUA